UUGAAGGAGCGGACAAAAAUUUGUGUGUUAAAUGCUUAAUAAAAUAAUUUUAACAAAAAUCAUUACUUUUCUUUUUAAAGUUAAAUUAAAAGUAUUUAAAGAAAAUACUUCAGUGAUUUAGAAAAGGGUUUUUAAAAUGACAAAUGGAAAAGUGUUGUUUUAAGACUCUAUUACUAAAGCCGAAUUACAAACAUAAAAGUUUAGUAGCCGGUAGAUAGACACAUUUAUGAACGUGGUUGCUUGCGAGCUGGCGAAGAAUAUUUGGAGACUCACAUUGUUUCUGUAUGGAUCUAUAUAAUGCUAACAAUAUUUUGGCAGAGUUUUGAAAUUUCGAAAAUAAUUUACGAAAAAGGCUGUGUUCAAGCGGGUGAAGAAUGGAUGGAAAGAAAUCUUAUUAUAAUAUCCACAAGUGCUAUUAUAACAAUUUUCUUUCAGAUAUUAUUUAUAAUUUUUACUCAAAAUCUACGUGCUGAAAUAAAUGCUCAAAAAUCAAAAUGGCACUGACAAUUGCCCACAGCCCCUUAAGAAAGGCUGGUUGCUGUUUAAGCGGCUGGAAAUGGACAUGAAAACAACAACAAGAAGAAAAACUAAAUAAAACAACCGAAAUUAAAUCUUAUGAUUAGUCAACUAAAAUAUCAUGUUACCUUUAAAUCAUGGUAUUUAUGAAUGUCACAUAUUUGGACAGCUGGAAUGAUGAAUAUCGCCUGUUAAAUAUCAUGAGAAGAGCGAAUUAACGAGACUAAUAGAACGAUGGAUACAUAUUUUUUUCUUUACGACUGCGCUGUCAUCAGCACGUUUUUUCUUAAUAACUAAUUUUCUCCAGAAAUUUUCUUUUAAUUAAUGAGAUUUAUUAACAAUUGUUAAAUUUUUCUUAUAGAACUUUUUAUGCUCUUUAUUUCUAUUAACUUUUUAUAUUAUUUUGAAAAGCUUUUCCUAGUUUAAGUGUUUCCAAAAGCUUAACAAGAAGUUAGCAUCUCAAACUCUUUAAACGGAUCUUGUGUUGACUCAAAAUCUGUUAUAUUAAACAGCUGUAAGCAAACAUUCACAAUUGAAUAAGAAAUCAUAACAAUAAUGUAGAUCCCACACCAUAAUUUACAAAAUGUAUAAUGUGGACUCAAUGUGGCUGACUCAGUGAAUGCAAUUUCAGCACCAUGAGAAUUAAAAACCCAUUCGGUUUACUAUAUAAAAAAUAAGAAAUUAUACAACAUUUAAAGAGAUAAUCAUCAUCAUUUUAGAUAGUUUAUGGUUGUUUCAUUUUUCUUUAGCCAACUUGGUAAUGUUAUGUAUUUAGAGCCUCUUAUGGAAGUUAAAGGAUUUUAAACGGAAUGAAUUAAAAAAAAAAUAAUUUUGGGAGCGAACCACGGCUCCUUUUUUUAAAUAAAUAAAAAUUCAGACACUCACAAUUUGAUUUACACAAUUUUUUAUUUUAUUCAAUCCAAACAUUCGCAGGAUUUUUUGAUAUUAAAAACUUAUUACUUUUAUUAACUUUAAAAUUGACAAAAUAUUAAUUAUUAAUUCAAGAGUUAAAAUUCAGCUCGACGUUCGAUUAGAUUCGCACCGCAACCAAGACUGCACAUUUCAGGCCAGCUUUGUUGGCUCAUUCUCAUGAAUCGAUCACGUUGCACCUACAUGUGCAAGUAUGCAGACGCUGACUGUGUAAAUUAGUUUCUCACAGAAUUAUUGCAAGAAGACAAUUUUGUAAUCGGAUCGGAUGCGCGUGUAAAAGUAAAAAUAUAAAAAGAGCUGACAAUCAAUUAUUUUUUAGGCGGAAGUGUUGCCAGCUGUGUUAACAUGGAUGAUGAUUCUUAUAAAUAUAUUUACUUCUAAGUGCUUUAUUUUCGUCUCGAGUACUUGUACUGGGUUGAGAUUUCUAAACAACUUCCAUACAACUUCUUUUCUAGCGGGCGUAUCAGCCGAUAUCCGAGGUGUUGAAGAGUAUGUUGCUAAGCACUUAUGCUUUCGGCCAAAGUUUCAUCGUCGCUACUGUCGUUAUCAUCACUUAAAAUUACGUAUUGUUGCGUAUAAAUACCUCAACGUUAACUGGCACAUACCACGGCAAGUUAUCAAUUAUUAUGUUCUCAUCACCACCACCUAAUUUUUCAUCUGAGAUAUCUACAACUUGUUGGCCUGAUUUUCCCAAAAACGCUAUGGACAUAUAUUUUCCUUUUUUACCUUGUGACAUGAUAGUAUAAGAGAAAUGUUAGAAGAUCUUCCAGCAAGCUAUAGGUGAGGUAAAAUUUAGUUCAUAACUCAUAUAUUCUAUUACACGUGAACAUAUAACACAUUAUCCAUGCCAACGAGAUACUAAUCAAUAAAUUGAGGUAUGAGCUUUGAGCUGGCCAUUAAUCGUUUUUUUUGCACUGAAAACAAAAUCUUUUUUGCCGCCUACUUCGGAUCUCCAUCCUGUUGGAAUAUAACUCUGAAUAUGCACACUCUUCUACCUGUUGGAAUAUAACUCUGAAUAUGCACACUCUUCUACAAAGUCUGGAAUAUUGGAUUGUAAAAUGUUCAAAUAAUCCUAGGCGAAAAAUCUUCGGUUCAUCGGACCAUAUACCGUUUUCCAGUCAUUAACAAUUUCUAAUUUUUUCUGCCUUAUGGCUGAUAUAAGGACAAUUCUACGAAGAACUCUCUGGGCUUUCUAUAAACUUACUAGAUUGUUUAUGACGGCAGCAACUUGUUUGAUUGUUUUUAUAUGUUUGAACGUUAUUAGUUCUGACAUCUAAGUCCUCAGGUUGCUUGGGUCUUCCUUUGAUUUCGAGAGAGACUUUGAGCUGCUGACAAUGCCAGCAAUCUAUAAUUCAUACAUUAUUCCGGAAUGUUAAUUAAUCCAUUUGAUUAGUUUUUAUUAUGUAAUUACCAACGCAAUCAUUGCGAUAUUCUAAUCAAGAGUUGCAUACUGCUCGAGUCUAGUAAAUGGUAGAAAACUCGUGAGUGUUCACUUGUCCAAAUAGAAAUUCGGUACAAAAAUAGCAAAAAGUCCAUCUUAUCGACUUGUCCCAAUACAUUUAUUAUAAACAGCUAUAACGUUAGGUAGUGAUGAUAUGAUACAUAUCUUAAGGUUAAAUGGAACCACGUGUGCUUAAAACACAGGAGGUUUCAGAAAGCCUCUUUGACACACGGACUGAUAUUUUGAAAGUUCCACGUGGAAUGAUAUGACUAGAAGUUUUAAGGUUUGAUAAACUCUCCUUGCAACCUAAUUUUGUGUGACGAAAAGUCCAGGUGUCUAAAAUACUAAGAUUUCAAAACUCUGUGGAGCUAGUGAUGCUUGCCUCAGAAUUUUUUAAUUUCCCUUAAGGAAAAUCAUUGAUAUUUAUCUGCCGCAAAGAACACGAUGAAUUUAAUCAUGUUCUUCAAUAUAAGUCAAACUUACUUCAACCAAAAAACGGUUUAUGGUUCCUGUCAAAGUUGUUAACGUUAGAUUGUGGUUUUAGAUGACAUCCUUUGGAUGAUAUGUAACUCACCAGAUCCUUGCACCAGCUAAAUGGGCAAGUAUAUCAAUUAAACUUGUUAUCGAGUCAUCUCUGAAGUCUAAAAACUUGGUUUUAGGAUGAAAAUUUUAUAAAUAAAAAUCGAAUUCCGGAUAUGAAACAUGACCUUUUUAUACCAUCUAAUAGUUUUUCUUGGACUAGAAUAAUAUGAUAAUAGUUGCUCAGAUCGAUCAAUUCCUCCAUUUUUUUUCUAUAUAAGCAAGACAUGGGUGAUGUGCCGUAGUUAUGGAUAAAACAUUGCGUUUAUCCUUCCAUUUUGUAACGUAAACAUUUCAAGUUCUUCUCCAAAUCAUGUCUCCCUUUUUAGUGGUUAUACCAUUAAUAAAUGAUGGCCACGGCUAAGAAAUGAAUCCAUAAGUUUCAGGACUACAGUUUUUGUUUUCGAUUCUGUCGUAUCUUCUGUAACUUUUUCUGCAUAAAUUUCAGCAUUUAAAAUGUAGCCAUCAUUUGAGGUGAGUUCAUAAAACUUUAUGCCGUACUUAGCACGUUUCCCUUUAAUGUAUUGCUUAAAUGAUAAUCUUCCUUUAAUAAGCAUUAGAGACUCAUCUAAGGACAAGUCUUUCUUUUUAUUUUAUUAAUAUUUGUAGUGUUUUUGUUAUUUCAGGGAUUUUGUAACUUGAAGCUCAGGCAGUAAUUUAAUAUUAAACGACCAGUAAACUGUAUCAAAGUUACUCACACUACAGCAACAUGGCGUGAUCUAUAAUUUAAACGUAUUAUUCCUUUUUGAAUUUUUCCUUGUGGAUAUAUGAUAUAUAUAUUAUUGUGUUUAAAAUCUAAAAUUUCCUUUUUAGUUAAAGAUGAUAUUUGACAUUAGUUACUAAAUUUUCUACAAAUGUUGUCGAUGAAAUACCUCUUUACUGCCACUCCAUCUCCAAAUCAUUAUCAAUAUAUUAUUAUAUAAUGGCUAAACGCUCAAAUCUUUGCAGCAUCGGUACGAAAGGAUCUCUUCUACUAUUGAUUAGUUAAAGUUAAGAUCUCUUCAACUCUUGAUCAGUGAAAGGCAGGAUCACUUCUACUAUUGAUCAGUUAAAUAAAAUAUCUCUUCUACUACUGAUAAGUAAAAGACAGGAUCUUAUCUACUAGAUUAGUGAAAGGCUCUUCCAAAAUCGGUUAGGGAUGAAAGAUUUCAGUUCUAUUAUUGAUUAGUGGAAGGUAGCAUAUCUAGUGAAAGUCAAGUUAUCUGUUUUUUAUAAGUGAAAGGCAGGUUUUCUUCUACUAUUGACUAGUAAAUGUCAAGAUUGCUUCUAUUUUUGAUUAUUUUAUUUUUUAAUAUUUUUCUUAUUUACUUUUUAUUUAUGCCACUAUCUCUAUAUAAAAAGUAGUACUUGUGGAGAACCUCCCCCCCCCACAAACACCACUCCAUUUUCAGACAACUGUAGCUCGCCAAAUAUAAACUUUUCUCCAUCCUCAUGAAAGUCUACCUGCCCCCUAGAAUUAGUCCAUGUGAUCUCUACACGGCUGAUGUUUCAUUCCUCCUCUCGAUGCUGUUUCGAUCAGAAGAGAAGCUAAUAGCUCCUCUAUGACAGGGAAAAACCUUUUUUUCUUCUCCCAUCUGCAUCCAAAAAUUGGAUGCAGGCGCUAGCUGCAUUUCUAAAACAUCGUCGUACCAGAGAUUAUUUUCGCACACAAAAACACAAGAUAAACGAUCCGUAUUAUUAUUUAAACAUAAUUCAACAGUUUAAUAUUUAUAUUAAAUAUUCUAUACCUACAACCGCUUUUUAUUAAAAAAAAAAUUCAUCUCUAUUUUUAUCACGAAAAUGCCAAAGGUAAACUUUUUUCCAUCCUCAUGAAAGUCUACCUGCUCCUUAUCAGAAGAGGAGCUAAAAGCUCUUCUAUGACAGAAAAGAACUUUUUUUCAUCCAAAAAUUGGAUGCAGACGCUAGCUGCAUUUCUAGUACCUCAUCGUACCAGAGGUUAUUUUCGCACACAAAAACAAAAGAUAAACGAUCCAUAUUAUUUUUAACUUUAUUACACAGUUGAAUAUUUAACCCAUUAAACGCCAAGGCAAUUAAAAAUAAAAAAAUUGAAAUUCAUUUAUUUAUUUGUAGUUAAAUAGAGUUAAAGAUUACAGAAAAAAACAAAAAAGUAAAAAAAAAAAUUUUUGGAAAUGUGUUUUUGGGGCUGUACUCGGACGGGUACAGUGGCGUCAUGAGUAUGCAAUUUUUUCAAGUAUGAAAAUUUUUGAAGCAUACUUUUUCAAC